rnacentral:rRNA from 1 species
UGUGUAGGCGGUGUCGUAAGUUUGGCGUGAAAUCUCCCGGCUUAACUGGGAGGGUGCGCCGAAGACUGCGAUGCUUGAGGAUUGGAGAGGAAAGUGGAAUUUCUGGUGUAGCGGUGAAAUGCGUAGAUAUCAGAAGGAACACCUGUGGUGUAGACGGCUUUCUGGACAAUUCCUGACGCUGAGACACGAAAGCGUGGGUAGCAAACAGGAUUAGAUACCCUGGUAGUCCACGCCCUAAACGAUGCAUACUUGGUGUGAGCCAUUCACUUGGUUCGUGCCGGAGCUAACGCGUUAAGUAUGCCGCCUGGGGAGUACGGUCGCAAGGCUGAA